GGGUGGCAGGAACUGGUGUGGCGCUCCCACCUCAGUGGCGCCUAGGGCACGUGCCCUGCCUGCCUCCCCCCCUGUUCCACCUAUGUCAAAAUCCCUCCGACUGUGGGCUGUUUGUCUUUGUGUCCCAUGUCAUGCACAAACUGUAUAAGCUCAUGUCUGGUUUUGACUAGGACAAUCCAAUGGUGGUCUUUGCUGGGCCUAUGGCGCACCAAGAUUCCAUCCACCUGUCUUCUAUUUUGUAUUUGCCUGUGGAAUCUUUUCCUUCUGAAGCAAGUGAUUCAAUUUCUGGAUCCCCUUCUUGUAGGGUACUCUGAUCCAGAGUUGGAUUUUGUCCUCCUCUGAGGGUUUACUUUGGCUGCAGGUAGUGACAGGAGCAAGAGACUCAGCUUCAUCUGGUUUACUGGGCGUAGCUGCCUCUUUGGCUUGAGAAUCUGCUUUGUGAUUCCAGUGUGCUGAUGCUGUAGUCUUUUUUCUGAUGUGCUGCUACAUGGGUGAACUAGGUAGCUGUUGUUGUUUUUCUGGAUUAAAUCUUUUAAUUUUUGCCAUUUUUCUGUGUGUGCAAUGGGAUGGACAUCUGAAGCCUCCAUUUCACGACUCAACCAGAUCGGAAGCCAUGUUGUAACUGUCUGGUUGUCCAGCUGGAAUCUCUGUAAAUUGCUAAGGAACAUCUGGGGGUUCAAACUUGAAAUUGGCUAUGAUUGCUUGUACCUUUGCCACUUGCGCAGAGUGAUGACUGAAGGGAGAUUUAACCCUUGCCACAAAAGACUGCUUGCUAAGUCAGUUAUGAGAUUUUGGGCUCAGAGGAAAGGAACUCCCAAAAUUCCUUUCUCAUUGCCUUAAUGGGCAGAACAUUCUAAACUGCAUUGCAAUUUGGAGGCUUGAAGGGGGACAUCCUUUAUGACGGGGGCUCUCUAUACCUCACCUCCCUAGCCACUAAGCUUCGCGGAGCAUGACUAGCUUCUGUUUGAACAAUAGUGAUGAUCACAGACCUAAAGCAUGACCCAGAAUCAUAUGCAAUGCACAUUGAUCCUUUGGAAGAGAAGUUAAUGUCAAAAGGUUUUGCUGAAGGGAGACAGUUCAAGAACCACUGCACUAUACAAUCGAAGGAACAUCCCACUUGCUUAAUUGCUUGUUUGGCAAGCUGGGGACAUGCUUUGGCUACCCUGAACCUACCACUUAUUUACCCAUGUAUGAAGAAGCUGUAAUUUCAUCAUUUUUUAGCAUUGCCUACACUGUGCAUUUCAACAGAGUCAACAUCCAAGCCACUGACUCCCAUUCUAUGUGCAUGGAACAGCUAGUGAGGUUCUUCACAACGUAUGCAAUCUUCAAUACAGUCAACUCAGUGUCAUUCCUGCUUGACAUAAAUAGGAAUGACAACUCGGUGUCAUUCCUAUUGAAGCACACGCAACAUGCAGUGAAUUUCAGAGUGGUAAGAUAUGAAUCUGAAGACAGAAUGGAAGGAAUUAUUUGUCUGUCUAUCAUAUUGUUUGUAUCUCUAGGCAGUGUAUUAAACCUGAAGUUGAAUUAGAAACUACA